rnacentral:misc_RNA from 1 species
AAGUCGUAACAAGGUAUCCGUAGGUGAACCUGCGGAUGGAUCAUUAACACUUAUCCAAGUACCUACUAGUAAAACUUUUUACGGUCACCAAAAACUUCCAAGACCGGAUUCAUGUGGAAACCAAACAGAAGGAAGGGGCUUGUCCCCUCCGUUCCACCCGGUAGAAGUUGCGUCGAAAAUUUUUUGAAGCAAUUCAAAAAAGAAGUAGACCUUUCUAGACUGAGAAUCGAAAUCAGUCCCGACAAACCGGACGAACCCCGUUGCUGCGGGGCCCCGGCGAGGCGCAGUUUAGCUUCUGUUUUGUAAUAUCAAACCCUUUUAACGAAUUAUAACCAAUUUGACUGAUAAGAGGUUUGCGCUGAAAGGCGUUCAAAUCGAAAAUUACAUCGCGUAAUUUAUUUAUACAACUGUUAGCAAUGGAUAUCUCGGUUCUC